AUUGACGUAAGACACCCCCGUGAGGGGCUGGUGGUCAGCCCUGGGAUCCGUCACCACCGGAAGACGCGGCUCUCGGAGGGCUGCCUGGAUCCGGUCAGUGAAGGUCCCGGGAGUGAAGCAGCCCGCGAUAGGAGCAGCUCCAGUGGCAGCGGCAACUCCGGCACAGCCCGAUGGUGGUGUUCCUAGAGGCUAUGACGCUGGCACCAGCAGGGUUUUCAGUGGCGACCAUGGCUCAUGCAGCAGCGGGAGUUUUUCCAGGUGCGCUUCAGAUUUAUGAUGUAGGUUCCAUCACUUUCCUUCUGUAAAUGAACUGUUCCAUCUGGAAAUCCAGGUCGGUGCCACCGAAGUGGGCUCCUGCGGCGAGGAAUUUGAGGACCUCCUCCUCCUCCAUUUGCAGGACAUCAAGGACUCCGGACGUUGUGAAAGUUUCCCUUUAAGUUACGAUGGGAAUCACGAACAACGCCAUCCGGACCCCUGCCUUGUCCUGACAUGGACGUUUCUCUCGCAGGUGCCCUGGCAGAGUCCCCAGAGCACAGCUUUAUAAUCAAGCAGCUUCAGCUCCACCACGACCCAUUUGUUAGCUGCGCGACCUUCACAACUAACGCAGCGCCGGCACCCUGUCCUCAUCUGGGAAGCAGGUUAAUGACUGCUGUGGGGACCAAAUAACCCUCUGCCUGUGCUUUAGAUGCACACAGAAUGCCGAGCACGCAGCAAGCCCGCUUCUCGUUCCUCCACACCGUCCCCAUUCUCUGUCCCCGGGGCAGCAGCCCUCAUGCACUCGAGCAGGACCCCAUCUGCCCCUGCAUCUCCGUGUGCAGCUCUUGCGAGGCCAGACGGCCACACACGGAUCAUCCUUCUGCCCGGAGGAGGAUUCUCAGGUCCACACUUUUUCUUGGCAGGUCUUGUUUUUGUUUUGCUUUGCUUUGUAAAUGAACUGGCUUUCUGAUCACUGGGACUUCCAUCCUCAGUGGGACACAAGAUCACCUGAUCCAGAAGCUCCCAGUUCCCUCAAGUGGCCAAAGCAGGUAGGGAGUGGCAACGGCAGACCACACGGCAGGGGGGGGACCCCAGGCCAGUGACCAGCUUCUGCCCCAGCCAGGUUUUGGAGCUGGAGGAGCAGCCCUGCCUUGGGAGGAGCUGCCCCGUACCCUGCCAAGUCUACACAGUGACUCACAGGUAUUACUGUACCAGGAAAGGGUGGAGAGCAGCACCCAGAACUGUGGGCAGUGAGCGGACAGUGACCCCACAUGAUGCGGAAACCUAGGCUCCACUCCAGGGCCUCAGGUGGUCCAGGGACCACCCUGGUCUCUGAAUGUACAAAUGAAAUGGGAUAUGGAUUAAAGUCAGAUCCAGACUCUGGUCUCCUGGAAGCUGGAGGUCAUCACAGGCUCACGCUGCGUCCUCGGGUGUGGGCAAAGGCCAGAACCGUUGGACGAACACACCAGUUGUCCCCACAGGCCCCUGGGCCAGAUGCCAGUUACAGACAUCCCAGGGAAGAAUAGCCAGACCGAGUUCCACCAUGAGAGUCCUACAGGAAGCGGAGAGCUGAUCCUUGGAGCUGCCCUUAUGUGUCAGUCUGGCCCGAAAAGAGCAGGUGGAUCCUGGGAGACGUCACAGCGCAGCGCCAGGGGCAGCUGUGUGCCAGGCACAGUGCAGCCCUCGCCGCACACAGCCACUGACCUGCAGGAGUAGUGACACUCGCCUUUCUUCCUCUCAUCCAGACGGCCCUCACCUUGGUCAGCAUCUGGGACACAGACGAUAUCCCGGAGGAUCUGCUAGCAGACUGCAUGUGAGUACGAGAGAAGUUUCCAGUCUGAGCACCUGGAGGAUGCAGUCUCCAUUUACUUUACAGAGAUGCUAGGUGUGGAACAGGAGCGUGUUCUGGGACAGGACUGUGAUCUGGAUGAAGUGAGGUGACUCAGGCCAAGCUGUUCAGCAUCUCCAGGUGCGGCUGCCUGACUGUAGCAUGGAGACAGUAACAUGACCUGUUACAGACUGUCGGGGGCAUUACGUGAGCCAAUACUUGAAAAUGCUGAGAAUAACCAGCACAGCAAGCAACUAAAACAGCCCUGAGGUUCUUAUGAGGAGCAGCGCCCGCACAGCAGAGCGGAAGCCUGACAGCCAGCAGCACAGCAGAUGAGAAAUAGGAUCUUUCUGACUGCACAACUCCCCUUGCUCAUGCGCUUCCUGGACACACACAUCAAAGACCGUGUCAGAGAAAGCUGCAGUUUCGACCCUCAAGAUAAUAAACCGUUUCUCAGUUCUGAAGCCACAGCAGCGGAGGAGCCUGCACCACUAGCGACUCUCCCGAGUUGCCCGGACCACGGACCAAGUCUGCGGCUGAGGGUGGGGAGGACCAGAGGGUUCGGGAAGCCCCCACGAUUCCAGACAGUGUGCUGCUGCCGGAAGUAGCAGGUGCUAGGAGCACAUCAGCAUCAACGUGAAGGGACGCGGCACAGACCAAGCAAGACUGCGGACACAGAUAUGGCCACAGCAAGGCUGCCCACACACAGAAGCAAGCUGUGAUAGAAGUUUAAUUUUUUUUUUAUGAAGAAGGGAAGUGUUUACACUGAGAACUUCAUUCCACUAAGGAUUAUGUCUGUUUACAAAAUCGAGAUGUGUACUUAUUUCUAGCUGGGUAAGGGCCCAAGCAUAAACACAUGGCAAUUCUAAUUUGGCCCAAUGACCCUGGAAGUACUACGACUGAACGUAGGAGGGUUGGUCAGCAUAAAUAGCAGGACCUGACAGGCACAGACACUGGUACGGAGUAGAGGGUGCCCAGGCGGUCAUACAAGAACCAGGGAAGAGAGACAAGCACACACUGCAUGUUAGAAUGCGGAUUACUCGAUGUCCCCAAGAGAUGCAUUACGUACAAAAAUGAAAUCUCUCACUAAAAAUGAGACUUCUAGAAUCAAAACUCACAGUAAAGAAUACAAAUACUAUAAACAAUGAUAAUAGAAUGGAUCAAACCUAAUAGGUUAGGUACUUCCGGCAUGGAAAACCUAACACAUCAUUUCUACAAAAGAUACCAAGUUUCAAAGACAAAAAUUCAUAAGAAAGGGACUUAAAAGUUUGCCAUCAAAAAUAUCAGUCUCACACUGUGGCUCAGUUUUGAAAUAUACUCAUCUACAUAAUCAGACAUAUCCAGACCAAAAGUCAACUAGUCAAAAACUCACAUCCUUUCUUUUUCCUUUAGUUAUAGUAAGAAUACCAAAACUUGGGAAAGAAAGAAUACUGAAAGAAUAGGAAUUAUUUCGAAUCAUACUGUACUGGGAAAUUCUUAAACUUAA
rnacentral:lncRNA from 1 species